CCCAAUGAAUUUAAGCAUAUUAGCUAACAGAGGAGAGGAGAAAUUUAGCAAGGAUUCUUUAGUAAUUGCAAAUGAACACAGAAAAACCCAGUGUUGAAACCCUGCCCCUCAGUGGGGUAUUAGAAAUGUGGCAUACAGAAUAAUCGCUCUCCAAUGCUGCCUUUUAGUGACCCAAGUUCUUCUGAUUGAGGCCCAGCCUGUAGAUGUUGGGAGGACAGUAGCAGCCCCUGAUGUACUGGACUUAGAUAUUACCAGAAUCAUGCUCCUAGAGAAUGUAGCUCUAAGUGGGUAUAAACUCCAUGUAAGGCUGAAUACUAGCACAAAAGCAAUAUUCAACAGUAUCAUAAGGAAAAACUUUGAAAAGAAAUUUUAAGAAAAUAGUUCCAGAGCACAUGACUAUUAAGAGACAUGAUGUCAAUCCUACAUAGCAACCCCAUACCCUUAGGUGGUGGCCAUGCCUCUCUCAGCCUUGGAGACAAGGAGAUGGCCCUGCCCUCUGAAACUGAGGAGAUAAUGGAUUCCCACACCUCACCAUCUCCAUAGCCUAUGCCCUCAGGUCUGUAGAAGUACCUGCAGCCCCACUGGCCUCUGAACCAUUCUUAGGUCAUUCUUCUCUUUUCUUGAAGAGUAACACAUGUUCAUACCCAAAUAGCUUUACCAUCCCCUUUUCUGCAUAUGGAAUCAAAUUAUUGAUAGAUCUUUAUUUUAUUUAUUUCUUUAUAUGUGGUGCUAAGGAUUGAACCCAGUGCCUCACACAUGU
rnacentral:ncRNA from 1 species